GUCGGUUUCGGCCGACUAUGGCGAUAAACGGACGAUGCAAUAAGCCAUUCGGACCCGGGGGCGGUACCCGGCGCCUCCACCA
rnacentral:tmRNA from 2 species